UGGGGAAUAUUGGACAAUGGGCGCAAGCCUGAUCCAGCCAUGCCGCGUGAGUGAUGAAGGCCCUAGGGUUGUAAAGCUCUUUCACCGGUGAAGAUAAUGACGGUAACCGGAGAAGAAGCCCCGGCUAACUUCGUGCCAGCAGCCGCGGUAAUACGAAGGGGGCUAGCGUUGUUCGGAUUUACUGGGCGUAAAGCGCACGUAGGCGGACUAUUAAGUCAGGGGUGAAAUCCCGGGGCUCAACCCCGGAACUGCCUUUGAUACUGGUAGUCUUGAGUGCGAGAGAGGUGAGUGGAAUUCCGAGUGUAGAGGUGGAAUUCGUAGGUAUUCGGAGGAACACCAGUGGCGAAGGCGGCUCACUGGCUCGAUACUGACGCUGAGGUGCGAAAGCGUGGGGAGCAAACAGG
rnacentral:rRNA from 1 species